rnacentral:rRNA from 1 species
ACUAAAUAGAUACCCGGGUAGUCCAUGCUGUAAACGAUGAGAACUAGAUGUUAGGGGGCAUGACCUCUUAGUAUCGAAAGCUAACGCGAUAAGUUCUCCGCCUGGGGAGUACGGCCGCAAGGUUAAAACUCAAAGAAAUUGACGGGGGCCCGCACAAGCGGUGGAGCAUGUGGUUUAAAUUCGAUGCAACGCGAAGAACCUUACCUACCUUUGAAUCCACGGAACCUAGCAGAGAUGUUGGGGUUGCCUUCGGGAACCGUGAGACAGGUGCUGCAUGGCUGUCGUCAGCUCGUGUCGUGAGAUGUUGGGUUAAGUCCCGUAACGAGCGCAACCCUUGUCCUUAGUUGCCAUCAGGUUAUGCUGGGCACUUUAAGGAGACUGCCGGUGAUAAACCGGAGGAAGGUGGGGUAUGACGUCAAGUCCUCAUGGCCCGUUACAGGU